rnacentral:rRNA from 1 species
GUCUGCCGUAUCGAUGCCACUAGCGAUCCGCGGUUGUAAUGCGCCCCGGCGGGGAGCUUCCGGAAACUAAAGUCUUCCGGUUCCGGGGGAAGUAUGGUUGCAAAACUAAAACUUAAAGGAAUUGACGGAAGGGCACCCCCAGGAGGGGAGCCUGCGGCUUAAUUUGACUCAACACGGGAAAACUCACCCGGCCCGGACACCGUAAGGAUUGACAAAUUGAAAGCUCUUUCUUGAUUCGGGGGUUGGGGGGGCAUGGCCGUUCUUAUUUGGGGGAGCGAUUUGUCUGGUUUAUUCCAAUAACAAACAAAACUCUGGCCUACUAAAUAGAGACUGAAUUAUUACUGUUCCGGAUUCUUCUUAGAGGGACAAGUGGUUUUCACCCACACGAAAUUGAGCAAUAACAGGUCUGUGAUGCCCUUAUAUGUCCGGGGCUGCACGCGCGCUACACUGAAAGAAUCAGCGUGCUAAAACCAUUGUCGAAAGGAAUUGGUAAACCCAUCAAAAUCCUACGUGAUUGGGAUCGGGAAUUGCAAUUAUUUCCCUUGAACGAGGAAUUCCCAGUAAGUGCGGGUCAUAAGCUCGCGUUGAUUACGUCCCUGCCCUUUGUACACACCGCCCGUCGCUGCCCGCGACUGAACCGUUUCGAGAAAAGCGGGGACUGCCGCCUGUCGGGGCUUUCGGGCCGUGGCUGCGGUGGGAAACCGCUUUAAUCGCUAGUGCCUCGAGCGGAGCUAAAAGUCGUAACAAGGUUUCCCGUAAGUUGAACCUGCGGGAGGAUC